rnacentral:lncRNA from 1 species
CCCAAUUGCAAAGCCAAGAGCAUCCCAGGGGUCCUAAUCCCCCUGCUCUUGGCUCCCAACCCUCAUCCUCACCCUCCCUGCCCCCACCAGCGCAGCCACUUUGUUCUUGGAACCUGGCACCGGCUUGUCCAAGGUCGGGAGCCCAGCGGCUACAAAGAACACUACUGAUACGAAGCCGGAAGGCUAGUGUAGCGGACUCCAAAGAUCCGUAGCCACAUGCGCCGCCCUGGAGCCUGCCGUCCUGCGAUGAGAUACAACUGGGCACACAGCCACCAGCUCUGGGAGACCUUGCGGGAAGCUAUGAGGCCUCAGCUGCACGCAUAUGGCCAAAUUUGCUCCACACCUUUGAGUCCACAGGUCUGGUGAGCUACACCAGAGGCUGCCGGUGUAGCACAGUUAAAUAUGAAGCUCGCGCCUGCAAACCUGUGAGUUCUGGUUUGUUUGCAGUUGCAGACUGUUCAGAAAGUAGCAGCUCAGACACUGCCUCCUCCCAAUCUUGCCCUUAGUGCCUGCCCCUCCUGGGCUCAAGAACAUCACGUACUGAUCCCACACCCACCAGGCGCUGCACAGCUUCUGCAGCAGGUGCGGGAUGGAGUUUCCACGCAUCCGUCUCUGACCUCUGGAUUUAUGGUUUUGCCUCACACUGCCUGGACGAGGGGAAAUUUUCCUGAAGGUGGAGCCGUAUUUGCCCGUUGCCAGGGAGACGAAGGUCACAUGACAUCUAGCCCACCAAUCAGAAGUGAAGACUCCAGGGGAUCCGCCCACCGUCCUCGCUCUUUGCACUCGGAGCUCGACUGAGGUAGCGUCUGCAGCUGUGUUCUCCGCGUCUGAGGUAGAACCUAGCAUUAUGGCCACCCGGUCGUGUUUGGAGAAGAAGCAGAAGCCACAGCAGGUGGCUGCUGUGCCCUCGAGGUCCAUGUCUUUGCCGCCAUCUUCUCCAAGGUCUCAGCCCAGCAGGUCUGCUUCUUUGAGGAACCACGCGUCGCAGCUGGUUCCUGCCCUUCAAAGCCAGGCCACAGCACCAGGUCCUGCUCCCCGCAGUGAAGCAGCGGGUCCUGGCCCUCACCUCCGCAGCGGUGCAGCUGUGCAACGCCCUGCCCUCCGGGGCAGCAUCACCCCAUCAGGUCCUGUUCUCCGCAGUCAGGCAGCCAGGCCAGGCCCUGCUCUCCGUAGCCACACAUCCGGGUCCGGUGCAGCUGAUAAGGGCCCUGCUGGCUUUUACCGCUGUGCCCCCGAGCCAGGCCCACCUCGUCGCAGUCGCCGUCUACCCGGGCCGAGCCCUGCUCUUGGGCGUCAAGCAUCAGCGCCCGGCCCUGCUCGACGCCGAAGCCGUGCACCCAAGCCAGGCCCAACUCGCGGCGGUAUACCCGAAGCAGGCCCCGCUUUCCGCCGCCGCAGCGCUUCCGCGCCUGGCCCUGAUGGUUGUGGCAGCCCUACUUCUGUGCCUGGCCCUGCUCGUCGCCGCCGCUCUGCUUCCGCACCUGGCCCUAAUCAUUGCGGCUUCCCUGCUUUGGCGCCUGGCCCUGGUCGUCGCAGCGGCCCUGCAUCCACGUCUGGCCCUGCGCUUCGCCCGCGCGGUGGUUCGGCACCUGGCCCUGUUCGUCGUGGCCGCUCUGCUUUGGCGCCUGGCCCACAUCCUCGUGGCGCCCCUGCUUCGGCGGCUGGCCGUAGUAGUCGACGCCUCUGUGGUUCCGCGCCUGGCCCUGCUUUUCGCGGCCGCCCUGCGUCCGCGCCGGGCCGUUCUCGUCCGCAACGCGGUGCUUCCGCGCCUGGUCCUGCUAGUCACGGCCGACCUGCUUUGGCGCCUAGCCCUUCUUUGGCGCCUAGCCCUGCUUCGGCGUCUGGCCCUGAUCGUCGCCGCCACGGUGGUUCCGCGCCUGGCCCUGUUCUUCGCGGUCGCCCUGCUUCCACGCGUGGCUCUGAUCCUCGUGGCGGCCGUGUUUCUGCACCUGGCCGUGCUCGUCGUGGCCGCCCUGCUUUGGCACCUGUCCCUGGUCCUCGUGGCAGCCCUGCUUCCGCGGCUGAUCAUGCUCGUCGCGGCCGCCCUGCUUUUGCGCCUGGUGGAGAUCUUCGCAGGGGUUCUGCUUUGGUGCCUGGUCCUGAUCGUCGCAGCGGCCCUGCUUCCGCGCCUGGCCCUGCUCGUCGCAGCGGCCCUGCUUCCACUCCUGGCCUGGAUCUUCGCGGCUGUCCUGCGUCCCCGCCAGGCCCUGCUCGUCGCCGCCGUCGCCACCUUGGUUCCACGUCUGGCCCUGAUCAUCCCGGCUGCUCUGCUUCCACGCCUGGCCCUGCUCGCCGCCGCCGCCUUGGUUCCACGUCUGGCCCUGAUCAUCGCGGCCGCCCUACUUCCGUGUCUGGCCCUGCUCGUCGCGGUCGCCCUGCCUCCACGCCUGGCCCGGAUCUUCGCGGCCGUCCUGCUUCCACGCCUGGCCCUGCUCGUCGCCGCCGCCGCCGCCUUGGUUCCACGCCUGGCCCUGAUCUUCGCGGCCGUCCUGCUUCCACGCCUGGCCCUGCUCGUCGCCGCCGCCGCCCUGCCUCCACGCCUGGCCCUGAUCAUCGCGAGCGCUCUGCUUCCACGCCUGGCCCUGCUCGUCGCCGCCGCCGCCUUGCUUCCACGCCUGGCUCUGAUCAUCGCCGCCGCUCUGCUUCCAUGCCUGGCCCUGCUGGUCGCCGCCGCGGUGGUUCCGUGCAUGGCCGAGCUGGCAGCCGCCGAAGUGCUUCGCGUCGCCGUGCAUAUGGGCCAGGCCCUGCCCUGAGAAGCCGCGCAGUGGGGCUAGGCCCUCCCCUCCAAAGCCUCAGCCCUACUUCAGGCUCUGCCCUCCGGGGCCGGGCCACCCAGCGAAGAUCACCACCUACUAGCUGCCCCUCUCCCGUUGGGCCUAAUGGUGAGAGUCCUCCUUCAUCCCCUGGGUUCGCCGUAGGAGGGCUUCCCCGCCAGAGCAGCUCAAGUUCUCUUGAAUCCGAGGCCCCAAGCCUUACUCCCCAGCGAGUUUGGCAUGCAGUCCGUAUGCGUGCCUCCUCACCCUCACCUCCUGGUAGGUUCUUUACUUUCCCUAGGGAGUAUGCUGAGAAUUCAUCCUCUUCCUCUUGCUCUAACUCCCCUGGGUCUUCUGACCAGAGCUCCCCCCCAUCCCCCAUUAAUUUUUCCGACGGGAGAUCCCUUAACUCUUCCGCUAGUUUUUCCGGUGUGGGUUCCAUCUCCACUCCUAGCCCUGCUGCCGUUAGGCGUGUCUUGCUGCCAGAGCUUGAAGCCCUGAGCCCUCUCUCCUUAGAAGAGCCGGCUGAAAUAGGGAGCCCGCCUCCCUCUCCUCCACCUCCUGUGCUAUGAUUCUCAUGAGCAUCCUCAUGAGUCCUGCGGAAGCAAUCAAUAUCCAUCUCAUUGCCCUGAAUGGGCUGCCUGUUCCGCGAUUACCUGUGAGGUUUACAAAUGUUCUAGCCAUUAACCAGCAUUAUGAGCAGUUUUGAAGCUCUUGUUUGGCAAGGCAGUUUUGAAGUCUCUCCUUCCUGUAAUGGCACUGCUUAGCGUUUAUCUGCUCUUGGCACUUAAUUCCAGCCCCUGCUUAUCCCCGCGAAAGGCCUGUGUUUGCCUCUAAGUUAAGCUUUCCCUUUUCCAAGUUGCGUUUAUGCAAUGAAAUUUUUGAAUAAAGU